UGUGAAUGACAAAUUUGAAUCGGACGUGAUUUCAUAUUUUCCAUCUGUCCCAAUAAAAACUAAUACAAGUAUUUUUGACAACAUAGUUCUCGUUCCUUUUUAAACAUUAUUGACAAAUAUUCGUGUAUGAUAUUGAAAUUAGUUAAGACAACACAAAUUUUAACAGAACGUUGAUUUAACUAACAUACAAAAUGCUGAACAUCAUGCCAAAUCUAUUUAGCAGAUUAAAAGCUUUAGCAAAUUAACCCUGAGGGAAAUUACAAGGCGCCCAUUAGCUGCUUCGAUCCACUGUCUUGAGGCUCUUUCAAUGGAAUACGGAAAGCUAUGUGUGUUUUUGUGAAUGUGUUUGCUGUGUUUGUACAGUUGGUUGAGCAGCUGCUGGUUACAAAAGGCCAUAAGAAAUUCACACACACACACUCGCACCUACACACAUAUAGACCUAAAUCAAACAUGUGCACAUACGCACUUCGAGGACAUGUGGGUGUGCUAUCUAAAGGAAACGACGGGUGUAUAAUCAAUGCACAGGACAACGGAGUAUGUGAAAUAAGGAAAGUGGAAACACUAAAUCACUCGGUACUCGGAAUACUCCGGACGCAGCUGUGGCAACGGCAACCAAAGCAACAAGGAAAGCGCAGAACGGAGGGAACAGAGCAGUGAGCAGAAGAGACAAAGACAGGGGUUACGAAAGAGACGACUCCAAAGAGAGGCGGCACAAAAGAAAUUGCAUAAAAUGGCGACUAGUGGCCAAAAUGGUGGGCCAUAAACAUCAUUGCCGUUGUGUUGGUUGUUUUUUUCUUGCCAUAAUUUGCAAAAUAAAAGGAAUAUUUGCACCAAAGCCGCAACCACACACAACAAAUGCCCCAAACAUGGCUAUAAAAACCAAAAUUGUGAAGAAACAGCAACGCAAAUAAAAAAGC